rnacentral:rRNA from 1 species
GGGUUGUGAGGUUAAGCGACCAAGCGUACACGGUGGAUGCCCUGGCAGUCAGAGGCGAUGAAGGACGUGCUAAUCUGCGAAAAGCGCCGGCGAGGUGAUAUGAACCCUUGACCCGGCGAUGUCCGAAUGGGGAAACCCAGUGUGACUCGUCACACUAUCAUUAACUGAAUCCAUAGGUUAAUGAGGCGAACCGGGGGAACUGAAACAUCUAAGUACCCCGAGGAAAAGAAAUCAACCGAGAUUCCCCCAGUAGCGGCGAGCGAACGGGGAGGAGCCCAGAGCCUGAAUCAGCAGGUGUGUUAGUGGAAGCGUCUGGAAAGGCGCGCGAUACAGGGUGAGAGCCCCGUACACGAAAAUGCACCUGCUGUGAGCUCGAUGAGUAGGGCGGGACACGUGGUAUCCUGUCUGAAUAUGGGGGGACCAUCCUCCAAGGCUAAAUACUCCUGACUGACCGAUAGUGAACCAGUACCGUGAGGGAAAGGCGAAAAGAACCCCGGCGAGGGGAGUGAAAAAGAACCUGAAACCGUGUACGUACAAGCAGUGGGAGCACAGGUUUACCUGUGUGACUGCGUACCUUUUGUAUAAUGGGUCAGCGACUUAUAUUCUGUAGCAAGGUUAACCGAAUAGGGGAGCCGGAGGGAAACCGAGUCUUAAU